rnacentral:lncRNA from 1 species
CAGACACAAGCCUAAUCUGACUGGCCAAACAUGAGGGGUCUUAUCUACAAACUGGCAUAUUUCCAGUUUAAAUACUUACUGACAAAUUUCUUACACUCAUUCCAGCCAAAUCCAAGUUUAUUCCAUCAUCACCUACACUUAUUGCAGGUUCCAACACUGUCCACACUCGCUCCCAUUUUGCCAUUCAAUGUCUUUGUAAAUGGGUAGCUAGUCCCUUCAGGAGGGAACAUAGGGAGGCUGUCAGCCAUGUCAUAUUCCCAAUGAGUCAUCCGUUCUUCCUAGGGAAGUUCUGCCAUCCCUGGCUUUUGUUAUCUGGUCUUUCAUUAAAGCAUCAGUCCAUCUGUCCUCACAGAAUACACGUUAACAUCCACUAUCUCAGAACUAUUAUUUGGCUUUAGUCUUCUCUCAGGCAACUGGUAGCCACUGCCUUUAAGCUCGGGAAGCUGGCAAAUAGCACCAGUCUUAGAUUGGGUUUAGGGUCUACUUGGGUUAUCAUCAGCCACAGUGGUAACUCACGUUUGUUCUCUCACGAGCACACAGCCACCUGCUGUGAUCUUUAUUGUGCACUGCAUCACUUCUGAUGUAAUCCAUGUUUCACAAGGGGUUUUAGCUGCAAUAGUAACUAUCUCUAAGACAGGUGCAAUGACAGAGGUGGGAAGGAAGUAUACCUCCUACCUAUCAUGGGAAUUUCUAACUCUGAUGGAGGAGGUGUAGCUCUGCCCUCUAUGGAGUCCUCAGAAUUGGGAGAGAGACAAGCAGUACCAAGGGUAACUCUACAUCACAAAACGUAAAUGGUACAGAUGGCCCAUCCUUCAUUCAACCGUUCAAUAUUUACUGAGCACUUACUAAAAGCAUUUAUAUAUGUGUGUGUGUGUGUGCGUCAUAUGUAUAUGCCAGGUAUUGUGCUCCUUGCUAGGUAUGUGAGGCACAUCAAAGGCCCAAAAGGUCAGAGUCCCUUCAGAUUCCCCAGAGCUUCUG